rnacentral:rRNA from 1 species
AAACCGUUCGGGGGUAAACGGACAGAGCCCGUGAAUCCGGGCGGCAAAAUUCAGAAUCGAUGGCCGGCAACGGUCGUCGGUUUAAUAUUUUUGUCGCCGCUACUUUUCGGACGUCGCGACCCGUUUGGUGUCGGUCUUAGGAGUCGUGUUUUCGUUCGUUGCCGCGUCGCUCUCGGGUGGCGCGGCGGUGAGUGCGCGAUUUCCGGCUGACUCGCCAGACGGUACGCUAGAGGUGGCCUUCGUCGCCCUUUAGGCGGCGAAUGGUACCGGUCUGCGACGAAUUUUCGGGCCUCUUUCCGA